GAGGGGGUGGCUCAGUGGUAGAGCGCAUGCCUCGAAAAUGUGAGUCCCCCUCC
rnacentral:tRNA from 1 species